rnacentral:rRNA from 1 species
CUAUACAUGACUCUGCGCUAUCAAUAAGCGGAGGAAAAGAAACUAACAAGGAUUCUCUUAGUAACGGCGAGUGAAGCGGGAAGAGCUCAAAUUUGAAAUCUUCAAGGUUUUACCUUGACGAAUUGUAGUUUAAAGAAGUGUUUUCUGCUGAAGUUUUGGUAAAAGUUCUUUGGAAUAGGACAUCAUAGAGGGUGAGAAUCCCGUAUUUGACCAUUAUUUUCAGCUUUGUGAUACACUUUCAAAGAGUCGGAUUGUUUGGGAAUGCAGUCCAAAAUGGGUGGUAAAUUUCAUCUAAAGCUAAAUAUUGGCGAGAGACCGAUAGCGAACAAGUACCGUGAGGGAAAGAUGAAAAGAACUUUGAAAAGAGAGUUAAACAGUACGUGAAAUUGUCAAGAGGGAAGCGUUUGACACCAGUGUUGUUUUCUCGAAAAUCAAUUAAAAAUGGCUCGAUUUUGUAUUGCUUGAGACCUUAAAAGCUCACUGUACAUUUUUCGUGUCUUUUUUAACGCACUUUUCGUUUAACAAGUCAACAUCAGUUUCUUUUGUUGUAAAAGGGUCAUUGGAAGGUGGCUUUCUUUUCGGAGAAAGUGUUUAUAGCCUUUGGCCUCUGCAAUCGGAGAGACUGAGGUCUGCAGCGUAGACUCUUCGGGGUUAGAUACAUUUGUGCUAAGUUAUAGCUUUUUAUAGACAACUUGUUGACUAUAAUUAGUCUUGUAGCUUACUCGCUUAUGCUAUUUUACCUACGCUUAGGAUGUUGAAGAUGUAGCACAUCAU